rnacentral:rRNA from 1 species
UGGCCUUGUUGGUUAACCCAUCCUCGGUUGCUGGACGGCUGGCGAUGAUCUUUAUCGAUUGUCGUCAGUUGCCAGAACGUUUACUUUGAGAAAAUUAGAGUGCUGGAAGCACGCUCACGCCUAUACUAUGGCAUGGAAUAAUGAAAUAAGAUCUCGAUGUUAUUUCAUUGGUUUUAGAAAUUGAGAUGAUGAUUAAUAUGAUCAGAGGGGGGCGUACGUACUGUGGUGUGAGAGGUGAAAUUCUUGGAUCGCCAUUUGACAAAAAUGUUCUAAUGCGUUCGCCAAGAAUGUUUUAAUUAAUCAAGAACGAAAGUUCGAGGUUCGAAGACGAUUAGAUACGAUCCUACCUCAAUUCAUACAGGUAACCAAGCCUUUUUAAGAGUCGGUAAUGGAUAUUAAUCAUCAGUUGGAUGAGUAGCCAUGAAAGGAAAGUGGUUCGGGUGGAGGGGGGGUAGCAAAGCAGAAACGAAAAAGAAAGGGAGGAAGGACACGUCACCACUGGAGCCGGAGCCUAAUUUGACUUAACACGGGACACGGGAAUAGUCCAGGACACUAGACAGAAAAACGAAUGACAAACUCAUUUAUGUUUCGAGGGGUGGUGCAGCAUGGUGCAUGGCCGUUCGUAGAGCGAGGAGUCAUAUUAAUUUCGAUUUUGAACGAGAAUCGGGACUAGUACAUAGUCAAAGUGUGAAGGGACGUGUCAAGACAUACAAGCAGAAUAAGAGGCAC